GAGUUUGAUCGUGGCUCAGGACGAACGCUGGCGGCGCGCUUAACACAUGCAAGUCGAGCGAGAACCAGUCCUUCGGGACUGGGAAAGCGGCGAACGGGUGAGUAACACGUGGGCAACCCACCCUUGGUAUCCGGAUAGCCCGGGGAAACUCGGAUUAAUACGGAAUAGCCCAACAGCUCUUCGGAGCGGUUGGAAAAGGUAGCUUCGGCCUCCGACCAAGGACGGGCCCGCGGUGGAUUAGCUUGUUGGUGAGGUAACGGCCCACCAAGGCGACGAUCCAUAGCUGGUCUGAGAGGACGAUCAGCCACACUGGGACUGAGACACGGCCCAGACUCCUACGGGAGGCAGCAGUGGGGAAUCUUGCGCAAUGGGCGAAAGCCUGACGCAGCGACGCCGCGUGGGGGAAGAAGGCUUUCGGGUGUAACCCAUUUCAGGAGAGACGAAGCCACUCAGGUUAAUAGCCGAGAGGGUGACGGUACCUCCAGAAGAAGCCCCGGCUAACUACGUGCCAGCCGCCGCCGUAAG
rnacentral:rRNA from 1 species